UACGAAGGGGGCUAGCGUUGUUCGGAAUUACUGGGCGUAAAGCGCGCGCAGGCGGCUCUUCAAGUCAGGGGUGAAAGCCCAGAGCUCAACUCUGGAACUGCCUUUGAGACUGAAGAGCUUGAGUACGGGAGAGGUGAGUGGAAUUCCCAGUGUAGAGGUGAAAUUCGUAGAUAUUGGGAAGAACACCGGUGGCGAAGGCGGCUCACUGGCCCGUUACUGACGCUCAGGCGCGACAGCGUGGGGAUCAAACAGG
rnacentral:rRNA from 1 species